rnacentral:rRNA from 1 species
UGAAUACGAGACGCUACGGCGUCGAAGCAGUCUAUGUCAUACUUCCAAGAAAAGCUCGCACUGUCAUAAACAAAUAAUGCCUGUACCAUAACCGACACAGGUGGGUAGGUAGAGUAUACUAAGGGGCGCGAGAUAACUCUCUCUAAGGAACUCGGCAAAAUGACUCCGUAACUUCGGGAGAAGGAGUGCCUUAUUUAUAAGGUUGCAAUAACAAGAUCCAAGCAACUGUUUAUCAAAAACACAGGUCUCCGCUAAGUCGUAAGACGAUGUAUGGGGGCUGACGCCUGCCCAGUGCCAGAAGGUUAAAGAAGUUGGUUAGCAUUCGCGAAGCUGAUAACUGAAGCCCUGGUGAACGGCGGCCGUAACGAUAACGGUCCUAAGGUAGCGAAAUUCCUUGUCGGGUAAGUUCCGACCCGCACGAAAGGCGUAAUGAUUUGGAUACUGUCUCGGAGAGGGGCUCGGUGAAAUAGACUUGUCUGUGAAGAUGCGGACUACCUGCACCAGGACAGAAAGACCCUAUGAAGCUUUACUGUAACUUGAGAUUGAAAUUGGACUUUACUUGCGCAGUAUAGGUGGGAGGCGUUGAUAAUAUUCUUGCGGGAUUAUUUGAGCCAUCAGUGAGAUACCACUCUUGUAAUGUUAGAUUUCUAACUUUGUAUCAUUAUCUGGUCAAAGGACAGUUUCAGGCGGGCAGUUUGACUGGGGCGGUCGCCUCCUAAACGGUAACGGAGGCGCACAAAGGUUUCCUCUGAACGGGUAGAAAUCGUAUCUAGAGUGUAAAGGCAUAAGGAAGCUUGACUGUGAGACCUACAAGUCGAGCAGGGACGAAAGUCGGUCUUAGUGAUCUGACGGUGCUGAGUGGAAAGGCCGUCACUCAACGGAUAAAAGUUACUCUAAGGAUAACAGGCUGAUCUCCCCCAAGAGUUCACAUCGACGGGGAGGUUUGGCACCUCGAUGUCGGCUCAUCGCAUCCUGGGGCGGUAGUACGUCCCAAGGGUUGGGCUGUUCGCCCAUGAAAGCGGUACGCGAGCUGGGUUCAGAACGUCGUGAGACAGUUCGGUCCAUAUCCGGUGUAGGCGUUAGAAUAUUGAGAGGAGCCUUCUUUAGUACGAGAGGACCGAGAAGGACAUACCUCUGGUGUACCAGUUAUCGUGCCAACGGUAAACGCUGGGUAGCUAUGUAUGGAGUGGAUAACCGCUGAAAGCAUCUAAGUGGGAAGCCCACCUCAAGAUAAGUAUCCUC